UAGCUAGUUGGUAAGGUAAAGGCUUACCAAGGCGACGAUCAGUAGCUGGUCUGAGAGGAUGAGCAGCCACACUGGGACUGAGACACGGCCCAGACUCCUACGGGAGGCAGCAGUGGGGAAUUUUCCGCAAUGGGCGAAAGCCUGACGGAGCAAUACCGCGUGUGGGAGGAAGGCUCUUGGGUUGUAAACCACUUUUCUCAGGGAAGAAUAGAUGACGGUACCUGAGGAAUAAGCAUCGGCUAACUCCGUGCCAGCAGCCGCGGUAAUACGGAGGAUGCAAGCGUUAUCCGGAAUCAUUGGGCGUAAAGCGUCCGCAGGUGGCCUAUCAAGUCUGCUGUCAAAGCGCAGAGCUCAACUCUGUAAAGGCAGUGGAAACUGAUAAGCUAGAGUUCGGUAGGGGUAGCGGGAAUUCCCAGUGUAGCGGUGAAAUGCGUAGAUAUUGGGAAGAACAUCGGUGGCGAAGGCGCGCUACUGGGCCGAAACUGACACUGAGGGACGAAAGCUAGGGGAGCGAAAGGGAUUAGAUACCCCUGUAGUCCUAGCCGUAAACGAUGGAAACUAGGCGUGGCUUGUAUCGACCCGAGCCGUGCCGAAGCUAACGCGUUAAGUUUCCCGCCUGGGGAGUACGCACGCAAGUGUGAAACUCAAAGGAAUUGACGGGGGCCCGCACAAGCGGUGGAGUAUGUGGUUUAAUUCGAUGCAACGCGAAGAACCUUACCAAGGCUUGACAUGUCGCGAAUCCUGCCGAAAGGUGGGAGUGCCUUAGGGAGCGCGAACACAGGUGGUGCAUGGCUGUCGUCAGCUCGUGUCGUGAGAUGUUGGGUUAAGUCCCGCAACGAGCGCAACCCUCGUUUUUAGUUGCCAGCAUUAAGUUGGGCACUCUAGAGAGACUGCCGGUGACAAACCGGAGGAAGGUGGGGAUGACGUCAAGUCAGCAUGCCCCUUACGUCUUGGGCAACACACGUACUACAAUGGUCGGGACAAAGAGCAGCGACCUCGCGAGAGUAAGCGAAUCUCAUCAAACCCGGCCUCAGUUCAGAUUGCAGGCUGCAACUCGCCUGCAUGAAGGAGGAAUCGCUAGUAAUCGCAGGUCAGCAUACUGCGGUGAAUUCGUUCCCGGGCCUUGUACACACCGCCCGUCACACCAUGGAAGCUGGCCACACCCGAAGUCGUUACCCUAACUUUUCGAGGAGGGGGACGCCGAAGGUAGGGCUAGUGACUGGGGUGAAGUCGUAACAAGGUAGCCGUACCGAAGGUGUGGCUG
rnacentral:rRNA from 1 species